UAGGUCAAGCCGCGGUGCGGUUCGGGGUCUUAUACCCCCUUCCGAAAUAUGAGCGGCCCGAUCACUUCCCACGUGUCGGGCAUCCGCCAUUGAUGCGCUGUGGGGCUCCGAGCCCACACCGGGCCCAUCUAUCAGGCCACCCGUCGUUCCCCUCGUCAGGCCCGACGCUACAUCCCCGUCCAUCCUCGUCGGAGCUCCGAUCUCCGGCAGCCGAUCCCGAAUCCGCGCAAAAAAACAAGGAAACGCCACCACGUCACCGAUAUCUAGGGUUUCCCUU
rnacentral:lncRNA from 1 species